UACGAAGGGGGCUAGCGUUGUUCGGAUUUACUGGGCGUAAAGCGCACGUAGGCGGGUUGUUAAGUCAGGGGUGAAAUCCUGGAGCUCAACUCCAGAACUGCCUUUGAUACUGGCAACCUAGAGGCUGGAAGAGGUUAGUGGAAUUCCCAGUGUAGAGGUGAAAUUCGUAGAUAUUGGGAAGAACACCAGUGGCGAAGGCGGCUAACUGGUCCAGAUCUGACGCUGAGGUGCGAAAGCGUGGGGGAGCAAACAGGG
rnacentral:rRNA from 1 species